CGAAGCAACGCGAAGAACCUUACCAGGUCUUGACAUCCUUUGACCACUCUAGAGAUAGAGCUUCCCCUUCGGGGGCAAAGUGACAGGUGGUGCAUGGUUGUCGUCAGCUCGUGUCGUGAGAUGUUGGGUUAAGUCCCGCAACGAGCGCAACCCUUAUUGUUAGUUGCCAUCAUUCAGUUGGGCACUCUAGCAAGACUGCCGGUGACAAACCGGAGGAAGGUGGGGAUGACGUCAAAUCAUCAUGCCCCUUAUGACCUGGGCUACACACGUGCUACAAUGGGAAGUACAACGAGUUGCGAAGUCGCGAGGCUAAGCUAAU
rnacentral:rRNA from 1 species